CCGCGCAAACGGCGCCCCGCGCCUAAGUUUAGCCCGAAGUCAGUCCCACUGAGCUCAGCAAAGGAACUUGACUCAUAUGCAAGCGGACGUGGCUUGGCUUUGAUACAUGGAGAGAUGAAGUGCGCUGUAAAACCAUAAAUUACGUUCUGCUGGAGAACAUAUGAAGAGCCCUACUGGAUCAGAUCAAAGACCAUCCUGUUCUCACUAUGGCCAACUAGUUGCCUUUGGGAAGCCUGGAAGCAAGAACAUGAGCACAACAGCACAUUCUCCACUUCUGUUUUUCAACAAAUGGUAUUCAGAGGCAUGCUGGAAGGAGUUCAUAGCUCUCGCGGCUAGUAGCCUUUGACAGCCUUAUCCUCAAUGAUGUGUCCAAUCCCUUUUUAAAGCCGUCUAAGUUUGUAGCCAUCACUACACCUUGUGUAAGUGAAUACUGUAGUUUAAUUAUGUACUGAGUGAAGCAAUACCUCCUUCUGAAUCUUCCCACCUUUGGUUUCAUGGCUGACCCCUGGUUCUGGAAUUAUGAGAGAGCAAGAAAAGCUUCUCACUCUCCACUUUCUCUGUGCCAGGCAUAAUCUAAUACACCUUUUGUCACGUAUACAAUCUUACAUGUAAUCCUUCCUUAAAUAAAACAUUUUUUAAAAUUUC